rnacentral:rRNA from 1 species
AACGAACGCUGGCGGCAGGCUUAACACAUGCAAGUCGAGCGCCCCGCAAGGGGAGCGGCAGACGGGUGAGUAACGCGUGGGAAUCUACCUAGCUCUACGGAAUAACCCAGGGAAACUUGGACUAAUACCGUAUACGUCCUUCGGGAGAAAGAUUUAUCGGAGUUAGAUGAGCCCGCGUUGGAUUAGCUAGUUGGUGGGGUAAUGGCCUACCAAGGCGACGAUCCAUAGCUGGUCUGAGAGGAUGAUCAGCCACACUGGGACUGAGACACGGCCCAGACUCCUACGGGAGGCAGCAGUGGGGAAUAUUGGACAAUGGGCGCAAGCCUGAUCCAGCCAUGCCGCGUGAGUGAUGACGGCCCUAGGGUUGUAAAGCUCUUUCAGCUGGGAAGAUAAUGACGGUACCAGCAGAAGAAGCCCCAGCUAACUCCGUGCCAGCCGCCGCAGUAACAC